AAAGUCGUAACAAGGUUUCCGUAGGUGAACCUGCGGAAGGAUCAUUAGUGAUUACUAGGAUGUCUGUUGAGUCCGAAACCCCACUUGAAACACUGUGCACUACUGCUGUGAAAGGGACAACCCGAACAGCUGCUCACACACACUCUGGUUAAUGCAUGUGCUUUAUAAUAAGAAAAACUUUCAACAACGGAUCUCUUGGCUCUC
rnacentral:misc_RNA from 1 species